AGUGAACGCUGGCGGUAGGCCUAACACAUGCAAGUCGAACGGCAACACAGUAAGAGCUUGCUCUUACGGGUGGCGAGUGGCGGACGGGUGAGGAAUACAUCGGAAUCUACUUUUUCGUGGGGGAUAACGUAGGGAAACUUACGCUAAUACCGCAUACGACCUACGGGUGAAAGCAGGGGAUCUUCGGACCUUGCGCGAUUGAAUGAGCCGAUGUCGGAUUAGCUAGUUGGCGGGGUAAAGGCCCACCAAGGCGACGAUCCGUAGCUGGUCUGAGAGGAUGAUCAGCCACACUGGAACUGAGACACGGUCCAGACUCCUACGGGAGGCAGCAGUGGGGAAUAUUGGACAAUGGGCGCAAGCCUGAUCCAGCCAUACCGCGUGGGUGAAGAAGGCCUUCGGGUUGUAAAGCCCUUUUGUUGGGAAAGAAAAGCAGCAGGUUAAUACCCCGCUGCUCUGACGGUACCCAAAGAAUAAGCACCGGCUAACUUCGUG
rnacentral:rRNA from 1 species